AACGUAGGUGGCGAGCGUUAUCCGGAUUUACUGGGCGUAAAGGGUGUGCAGGCGGGCUGUUAAGUGGUGCAUGAAAUCUCCGCGCUUAACGUGGAGAGGCUGUGCCAGACUGGCAGUCUAGAGUACGAGAGAGGGUUGUGGAAUUCCUGGUGUAGCGGUGAAAUGCGCAGAUAUCAGGAGGAACACCGAUGGCGAAGGCAGGUCUCUGGGCCACUACUGACGCUGAGAAGCGAAAGCAUGGGGAGCGAACAGG
rnacentral:rRNA from 1 species